AGAGUUUGAUCCUGGUUCAGGACGAAUGCUGGCGGCGUGCCUAAUACAUGCAAGUCGAACGGGGUGUAGUCAGGGGUAACUCUGGCUGCAUCUAGUGGCGAACGGGUGAGUAACACGUGAGAAACCUGCCCUGAAGACGGGGAUAACAGAAGGAAACUUCUGCUAAUACCCGAUACCCCCUCCGGAGCUCAUGCUCUGGUGAGGAAAUGGAUUCCGCUUCAGGAGGGUCUCGCGGCCUAUCAGCUUGUUGGUGGGGUAACGGCCUACCAAGGCUUCGACGGGUAGCUGGUCUGAGAGGACGAUCAGCCACACUGGGACUGAGACACGGCCCAGACUCCUACGGGAGGCAGCAGUAAGGAAUAUUGCGCAAUGGGCGAAAGCCUGACGCAGCAACGCCGCGUGCGGGAUGAAGGCCCUCGGGUUGUAAACCGCUUUCAGUAGGGAAGAAGAUGACGGUACCUACAGAAGAAGCCCCGGCCAACUACGUGCCAGCAGCCGCGGUAACACGUAGGGGGCGAGCGUUGUCCGGAUUCAUUGGGCGUAAAGAGCUCGUAGGCGGUUUCGUAAGUCGGAUGUGAAAACUCCAGGCUCAACUUGGAGACGCCAUUCGAUACUGCGAUGACUAGAGUCCGGUAGGGGAGUGUGGAAUUCCUGGUGUAGCGGUGAAAUGCGCAGAUAUCAGGAGGAACACCGGCGGCGAAGGCGGCACUCUGGGCCGGUACUGACGCUGAGGAGCGAAAGCGUGGGUAGCAAACAGGAUUAGAUACCCUGGUAGUCCACGCCGUAAACGGUGGGCACUA
rnacentral:rRNA from 1 species